rnacentral:sRNA from 1 species
ACUUAACAACCGAAGUAACCCGCAAUGCGGAAGGGCGAGGGGAUUGCGAGUCACUGCGUUUCCGGCGCGGCUUGAGAACGUCUUAGGAACUAGUACUUACAUAAUCUCAAGUCCCUGAGGGGCCAGAGAUCCCACCACGCAAAAUAGCAUACAGACCCAAGACUUGGGGAGAGGCAUCAUGGCCUAGAAAGAGAGAUGUUGGGGUUCCCAGGACCAGGACAGAGGUGGUGGUGAACUCUCAUGGGCAUCCAGAGAAGGUCAGGCCCCUUGCUGACAGGCCUAUCCGUGGGGCUACUGCUGCUCUUCAGCUGGGUGAUCCUUGUCCAGCCAACCUCUCUCUCAGCUCUGGUCCACCACCCUCACUUGUGCCAGACCACCCGGGAUGUCCAUGGCCAUCACUACCCUGGUUUCUUUUGCCCUCGUCUCUCUGAUUCUCCAGAGGAAGCCUACUGCUGCCACCUGCAGGCUGCAGGGGGCUCCUGCUGCACCAGGGCUGAAUUUGAGGCCCUGUACCAAGUCAAUCUGUCCGCUCUUCCGCCCCCGCCCAUCCUCAGGGGCCCAGGCCCGCUCC